rnacentral:rRNA from 1 species
CGCGUGAGUGAAGAAGGUUUUCGGAUCGUAAAGCUCUGUUGUAAGAGAAGAACGCGUGUGAGAGUGGAAAGUUCACACAGUGACGGUAACUUACCAGAAAGGGACGGCUAACUACGUGCCAGCAGCCGCGGUAAUAACGUAGGUCCCGAGCGUUGUCCGGAUUUAUUGGGCGUAAAGCGAGCGCAGGCGGUUUAAUAAGUCUGAAGUUA